rnacentral:rRNA from 1 species
AGACGGGGGGGGCGAGCGUUGUUCGGAAUUACUGGGCGUAAAGGGCGCGCAGGCGGCCUGGGAAGUCUUGGGUGAAAGCCCCCAGCUCAACUGGGGAAUGGCCUGAGAAACCACCAGGCUGGAGUGCUGGAGAGGGAAGCGGAAUUCCCGGUGGAGCGGUGAAAUGCGUAGAUAUCGGGAGGAACACCAGAGGCGAAGGCGGCUUCCUGGACAGACACUGACGCUGAGGCGCGAAAGCUAGGGGAGCAAACGGGAUUAGAAACCCUGGUAGUCC